rnacentral:rRNA from 1 species
UACGAAGGGGGCUAGCGUUGUUCGGAAUUACUGGGCGUAAAGCGCGCGCAGGCGGUCUUCCAAGUCAGUGGUGAAAGCCCGGAGCUCAACUCCGGAAUUGCCAUUGAAACUGUUGGACUUGAGGAUGAGAGAGGUGAGUGGAAUUCCCAGUGUAGAGGUGAAAUUCGUAGAUAUUGGGAAGAACACCAGUGGCGAAGGCGGCUCACUGGUCCGGUACUGACGCUGAGGUGCGAAAGCGUGGGGAGCAAACAGG